rnacentral:rRNA from 1 species
ACUCAAAGGAAUUGACGGGGGCCCGCACAAGCGGCGGAGCAUGUUGCUUAAUUCGAUGCAACGCGAAGAACCUUACCUGGGUUGAACUACGCAGGAAAAGCUGCAGAGAUGUAGUGUCCGAAAGGGCCUGCGAUAGGUGGUGCAUGGCUGUCGUCAGCUCGUGUCGUGAGAUGUUGGGUUAAGUCCCGCAACGAGCGCAACCCUUAUCCCAUGUUGCCAGCGGGUUAUGCCGGGGACUCGUGGGAGACUGCCGGGGUCAACUCGGAGGAAGGUGGGGAUGACGUCAAGUCAGCAUGCCCCUUAUGUCCAGGGCUGCAAACAUGCUACAAUGGCCGGUACAAAGGGUCGCAAGCCCGCGAGGGUAAGCCAAUCCCAGAAAGCCGGUCUCAGUUCGGAUCGGAGUCUGCAACUCGACUCCGUGAAGUCGGAGUCGCUAGUAAUCCCGAAUCAGCAACGUCGGGGUGAAUACGUUCCCGGGCCUUGUACACACCGCCCGU